GAGUUUGAUCAUGGCUCAGAAUCAACGCUGGCGGCGUGCCUCAGACAUGCAAGUCGAACGAUUAAACUUUCCUUCGGGAAAGAUAUAAAGUGGCGCACGGGUGAGUAACACGUAAGUAAUCUACCUUCGAGUGGGGAAUAACGUUCGGAAACGGACGCUAAUACCGCAUAAUGCAGCGGCACCUUAUGGUGACAGUUGUUAAAGGAGCAAUUCGCUUGAAGAGGAGCUUGCGGCAGAUUAGCUAGUUGGUAAGGUAAUGGCUUACCAAGGCUACGAUCUGUAACCGGUCUAAGAGGACGGUCGGUCACACUGACACUGAAUAACGGGUCAGACUCCUACGGGAGGCAGCAGUCGGGAAUUUUGGGCAAUGGGCGAAAGCCUGACCCAGCAACGCCGCGUGAAGGAUGAAGUAUUUCGGUAUGUAAACUUCGAAAGAAUGGGAAGAAUCAAUGACGGUACCAUUUAUAAGGUCCGGCUAACUACGUGCCAGCCGCCGCCGU
rnacentral:rRNA from 1 species